rnacentral:lncRNA from 1 species
GGGUUAAAUAUAUAUAUAUUUAGAGUUUUCAGAAAGGUAAUAUUUUACCUGUAUUGUUUAUGUUUGAAUAAUAAAGUCAGCAGGGAUAACAAAAUAAUUAGAUUUUAAAUUUGGAAUACCAAACACCAACCAUCAAACUUUUAAUCAACUAUCCUAUGUACGAUUGAUGGUUGGCUAAAGGACUUGAUGGAUGGUAUCUGAAAUCUCAAAUUUAAACACUAAUUAAUUAUUUACGUUUUCAGCAAAAUUUAUUUUUUUAAAAAAUAAAUAAUGGAGGCACCAUACUACCCCCUCUCUCUCUCUCUCUCUCUCUCUCUCUCUCUCUAUGUACAUAGAGCGAGAGAGAGUAAAAUAUAAUAGUAGUUCUACAAAAUGUCUUAUAAGGUAAGAUGCUUUGAAUACCAAACAGUGGUUGUUGGGGGAGAGAGCUUCACAAGAGAGUUACCCCAAUAGUAAUGCUAUUUCUUUCCUGCUAGCUUCUGACAAGAUCGGUCUCAUGAAGGUUUGCUUUCGAUUAAGCGCCUUUUCACCAAAAAAUGUGUGAAGAGAAGUUAUGUGAAAAGGUGUGUCUCGAAGCAACAACAAAGUAAGAAUAAAAAAUCACACCCAACAAUUCAAAAAUAAGAAUGGAAUAAUAUUUUUACAAUCAAUCAUUAUAAAUUAAAUUUACAAACAUAUACACAGUGCACGUUUAAUUGUUCAUAGAAAAACAAAAAGAAAAAUAUAAAUCACAAAUAUGAUUAUGGACAGCUAUAACAUCGUCUCAGCAAAAAUUCCAUUAUCACCCCAUGAAGAAAUCAUGAGUAACCAAGAAAUAAACCAUCCAAAGUACAACUUUAAACAUAGAAAAUUAUGAAUUAAGUAGAGAUAAGCAUUUUAAAAAGGCAUAAGUAUUCAAAAUAAAAUACUUAAGAAACUGCGGGCAAAAGUGGUUUGUACCAACAACUAACCAAAAUCCAAGCAUUUAGAGUCGGCAUUAAUCCAGCGAGAUUAACUCCAAAUGCUCAAUUUGCCACAAUCUCAUCAAUUAAAUAAAAGAGAUCAACAAACAAAAUUAAAAGCAAUAUAUCUAUUUGGCAUGCCAUUUGGCAGAAACUUUUUUUACUUUUUCACGGCUCCUCGACUUUUAAACACUAGUCCAAAGAUAUCUUAAUUUCUUCGUAUGAAUUAAGCUCUCUCUAUCCGAUCCAUACAUGGCUAAUAUUCAUUCAUCUUCCUCCGGAGAGAGUAGAUGACCUCGGCACGGAAGAUGGAUAGGAGACAACAUAAUCAUCAAAACCUUCCUUGUGAGGUAAUGAUCAUAGAUUGGUGAAGCUGAGCUAAGCCGGCGACAGCUCCGGCAGCGGCACCCGGCCCUCCAAGUACUGCACCGCCAGCUGCAUGCUCGGCCGCGCCGACGGGUGCGGGUGCGAGCACGUCAGCCCCAGCUUCAGCGCCAUCUCCGCCUCCUCCGUUGCGUACUCUCCUCCCAAUCCGGCAUCCACCGUAUCGAGAAUCGAGCCCUUCUGCCAGUUCUCGACCACCCAAUCCACCAACAACUUGCUCCCACUCGUCGUGAAGAUAGAGGAGCCCCGUAGCAACCCCCUUCAAAAGAUUCGGAACCUGCAUUGCGCGCUCUGUUCGCACUUCUUUUCGAAAUCUCCAUAAGCUACUUGAAUUGAAUAUCUAAGCGAGAAGAUGCACUAAUUAAGAACCCCUUCAACUAUUGACUCGUUUGAAUUAAGACCCUGCACGGUUUUUUAUUUUGUUAAUUUAAAUUAUUUUUAAUUACUUAAAAUUUAAAUUUUUUUUUAAAAAAAAAUUAUCAGCUUAUUUAGUUCGUAGAUUAUUAAUUAUCUUAACUACAAAAUAAUUAUAAUUAUUAAACUAGUUAAUUCAGACAAAACUAGAGGGAUAUUGGAUAGUUAAUUUGGUCUUCGUACACUUUAAUCAUGUGGAGAAAGAUAAAUACAUAACUAUACGAUUUGGAUAAACCACUCUAGUGUCCGCUAGCAUUGCAUCAAGCAGCCAAUUGUGGAGUUCAUCGCGAAGUUCUCUUCUCUGGACUAUUUGACCGAUUCAAAAAGUGAUUCGGCUAUUGCUAAAGUUCUCCAACAGCUUGGUUUUUUUGGGCCAACAACUUUUCCACAAAGGAAAGUUUUAUUCAAGUCAAUUGGUUGAGGACUGUUUCCCAACAUUUUUCAAUAGGUUUUCUACUGGUGGAGAUAAGCAUCCUUGUAGUGAAACCACAGUCAGAUUCAGAGAUUAGCAUCCUUGUAGCGAAACCACAAUCACAUUUAGAGAUCGCAACAUGUAUAUUUGUAUAGGAAUCCCCACAAUUCAACUGCCCCAAAAGUGAAACAGAAAUGAAACCUCCCCAAUUCGACCCACAGAUCCAAAUUUGCAUCCAAAUUUCAACUUGAGGAUUUAAACACACGUAGAGAUCGCGCAAAGUAAACCUCCCAAAUCCGACCCACAAAUCUAAAUUUGCAUCCAAAUUUCAACCUGAGGAGGAGGAUUUAAACACGCGUAGAGUUCGCGCAAAGUUAUUUCCGAUACCAGAUCAAUCUGAAUCAUGUAGUAUCGAGAAAGCUUAUACAGACAAAAUCUUAAUUGCCUAUUUUUUGAACUUUAAACCUACUGCUACUAAGGAAAUUUAAGAAACAUUAUUGUUUUCUUUGACGGAAAACAUGCGGAGGGAAAAAAGCCACCUGGGGAUUCUAGAAUCUUUAAUUUUUGUUCACCAACCGAUGCCAAAGCCAAGGCAGUAGGCAAGAGUUUUUUAAGACUAAACCAUAAAAGCAUGACGCAAAGUAACCAAGUUUUUGUAGAACAAGCCCUCUUCCCCAAAAUAAGCGUGCUCCACAAUAAACCUGAACUUUUUUUACGCACCCAAACCCGGGAAAAAAUUGAUGAAAAUCUAUAAACCAGCACCAGUAAUAAACGCGUCCGAAAGAUUUCGGGUAAAGAGGAAAAAAUAGCCAAUUCAGGCGAGAACAAUAACCCACUUAAUCUCCAAAACAUUGUAGCGGUUCAAACAUCAAGUAAUUGUUAGAACAUUGCGUACGGUAAAACGCAGCGAAAAAGAAAAUCAAACAAAUUUGAUUUUGAAAACUCUCGAGAUCUAAUCUCAAAACCACGCAAUUAGGAUCCCUCAUGUUCUUUAAGAUUAAAGGAGAAAAGUAAGAUCGAAUCAUUACCUUUUUCGCGGAUAAAUUCUUCCCUCAAUUUGAUGAUCGUGGAAUCGGGUUCUCUUGAAGCCGCACACGCGUCCGGCCUCUAUAGGUAUCCACACGAGGUUCUUGAUUUGAUCGAUGUCCUCACCGGGGUGCUAGCUCCCUUGCAAAAGGACGUCUUUCUUGCUAGAAGAUGGAAGAGAGAAGAGAAGAUAGAUGACGGCUUCGGUUUUCUAAAAACUCCUGUAUAUUAUAUAUAUAGGAAUAUAAUGACAAUUAAGGAUAAGUAUAAAUCUAGAUUUAAAUUUAUCUUUUCCUUAAUUUUGCUAGUUAUAUUCACUAUCUUCUAGUUUUUUAUACUUGGCUUUUUACUUCCGCUUUAUUGUAGACGCAUUUAUGUGUUGUACAUUAUGCGGGCUUGGGCAACGCAACCAGGGAGAGGCCUCCGGCCGUCCCGGGGGCGUGACAUAGAGAGAUUGGUGGAAGCAAAGACUAAAACCGGGCGACAAGCGUCGGAAGGGGGCGCGUGGCCCCUCCAAGUACUGACAACCAGCCGCAUGAUCGGCCGCCCGAUGGGUAGCGCGGUGCGAGCACAUCCCCCAGCUUUCAGCGCCACUUCGCUCCUCCUCGUGCGUACUCUCGCUCCAAUCUGAGCAUCCACCAGUUAUCGAGGAAUCGAGCCCUUCUGCAGUUCUCGACCACACCAAUCUCACCGAACAAUGAAUUGCUCGGCCUUGAUUGGGCGACCAUUCGGUUGCUCCACUGGCCUUCUCGCCGCAAACAACUCUGUUGAUAUAAAAUAUCAAACUAAAUGCACUAGUUAUUCGAGUCCCUACCUAUGCGCAGUUUCCGGUCGAUAGAAGGAAAAUAGCUGUUUGAAGGUCUUUGCCAAAAUUUCAUUUAAAAAAAAAAAUUCGAAUUCAAAGAAUUAAUUGAUCAGUGUUGAACACAUGAAGGUUAUUAUUAAUUCUAGCUGGCCGGAGUGUAAGCUAGCUUGAUAAAGGAGGAAGGAGAAAUUGUUAUUCGGCGGGACUCUCUAAGACAAAAGCCCCGAAAGAGAAGACAUCGGUGCGGUGGUUGCCUCCCCGUCCUGGCAAGCUCCGCGCGAGAUACACCCAAGCGCCCCACUACUGGGCGCUGCGGAUGCAAUGCCGUGGAUCGUACAGCCUCGCGAACGCGAGAAUUCGCCAGCUUGCAUUCAUCUCGCCAUCCAGCAGCCAAUUCUCGCCUUAAAGGAUCCUCUGUGCACAACGACUUGUUCCCACUCUUCGUGAAGAUAGAGUAGCCACCGUGACACACUUCAUUGAUUCGGAACCUCUGGGACCUCCACCCAAAGAAGCCGGUUUGUGUCCGGGCCGUAGUGCAGGUACUUGUCGAGCUACCGUUGGGAAACGAAAGCAUAGACCAGGAUGAAGCUCCCCCUUUUGGCGGCAUAGCCGGAGCAGGCGGCACAAUUAUUGCGGUGGCGGACGGCGGCCGAGUGCUGGCGAUCUAACGACACGAACCUCCCUCAUACCCCUGCCGGACUCGUGGGAGACCCCUCGACUGCCACUCUGCUCCCAUAACUCGGAAGCGUGUCGCACGUUCCAGGUACUCUCCGAAGCCGCCACUCCCAGUUGCUUCCCUCUCACUGAACUCCAGUGUGUGCUCGAAGGUCUCUGUAAUGAGAACCGGUAUGGGCCGAAACUCCCACGCGCCGCCACCCUCACAAAGCUCCGCGUUUCUUUGGCUCCGCCGCUUGCCACCUACGAAACUGCAGCAACUGGUCACGCAGCAGCUGAAAAAUAAAGAAACUCAGAUAACUCAAAGCCCAGAGACCUCCAACUCGGAGGUUUGAAAUUCCUAGCGGGAUCGCAGGUACUUUGAGUAGUCAAAGGAGUGGGGCCUAUCUACGUGCAUGCUGGAAGCUCUCAUCCGAUGACGUGUGUGACCGACAUACAUGGGAGCCCGUCGCGAGGAGAACCCACCGUACAUGGCCGCGAUCAAAGCGCGACGGUGGAAAUUGACCGCGAACGAUAUCCAUGGUAUAGUUAGGCUUCAAAUCGUCGACGUUCCAAUGGCAUUCACAGGUAGAGAGCGUAACGUUCAACUUCCGGCAUCUGUGCCUGUCAUCGUCGACCCACACUUCGCAUUGUGUUUGCCACUGAAUGAGUCUCCAACCCUGUACUCUUCCCGUACCAUUCUCAUAAUGUACCCGUCUACAAGUGUCGGACCAUUGUGACGCAGCUCCGUGAUGCCCGAUCCGACUGUGUAUGUCGUUCGAUGUCUGGAAGUCGGUGGGUUUGUUCAGCGUAUCGCGUCGAGCUCCGAUGGCAACGACAUGGUUGAUGGCGUGCCCUGCUCGCUUAAUAUAUGUGAAUAAAGCCCAAGUACUAGCCAUACGGGCUUCCGAGAAGUUAUGUCGGAGGUGGUGAUUACAAAGGCGAUCCCGGUGGCCGCGAAGUCAGCGUACUCGGGGUUGACUGGCGAAGGCGAAGUGGUUGGAAAGGAGGGUGACUGCUACCAUCAGAGACGUUGCCGCCGGAACUGGAGAGGGAAGGGUAAAAGGCGUGGCUUUUGGUGCUUUGUGUAGUUUGUUAGUAUUAAGAGGCCAUGCGAGAUACGGUCGCAGAGCCAUCGAGAGUGAUUGUUGGCUCCGGAGAAUCCAUUGAAGGUAAGCGUUCUUGCGCCAGGAAAGAAGCAUCAAGCUUAGAAGAGAGAAAAGAAGAAGAAGAAGGAAGAGGAAAGAUGAUUAGUUCAGUAGCAUGGAUGGAUAUACGUUUUGCAAACCUUGAGUAGACUCGAAGAGAACGAUAAAUGAGUAGUAGUUACCAGUGCAAUUAAAUUCUUAUGCCUUUUUGCAACAAUACAUUACUGUGUUGCUUCCUUUUUAUAUUGUUAUAAUAAUUGCCAUAAAAAUAUUUGAUACAAUAAUAAAUAAAUAUUUUGCUGCAAGUCAAAAUUCUCUCUUAUUCAGUGUUUCUUAAAAAAAGUUUUUUAUUAAAAGUGUUUGAAUAUUGUAUUUAUUUCUAUAAACCCCUUUCGAAGAAUGCUCCUCUACUGUUAUACAAUGUUGGAUUUUACCAAUUAUAUUUUACACACCAAAAAAAUAAGUUGACCAUUAGCCAGUUGGACAGUGACAAACUUGUUGACCACUCUAACUUUACAUACAACAAUUGCGUUAGAAUGAAGGCACUGAAAAAAUUGUAACGAACCCAAUUGGAGUAUACGUGUACACACAUCAACCGUUCAGAAUCUACUAUAUAGUACGAGAAAGUUGGGUCGUAUCAAGGAUUUGGAGGUCCUCCGAUUCUUCCGUUUUCACUUUAAAAAAAUUAGAUGCACUAAUCUACAAAAAUAUAAUAUACAUCUAAUUUAUUUUCUUAGCUUAAAUAUACAAUAUAAUUUAACAGAUAUAAUCUAUACUUAUAUAAAAAAUCUAUAUACAAAAUAUUAUAGAAUUUAAUUUGAAACAUCAAUGAUUUAUCAAUAUGGUGUUUAACAAUUAUACAUCCCGUAAGAAAUGAUUCUCCUCUGAAUCACUCACACAUCUAUAAAAAUAAUUUGUCAACAACCGGCUAUAAUAUUACACGUACAACCCUAAAUGUUAAUAAAUAAUAUUAAAAAUUAUAAUAUAUAUUUUAUAAAUACGAUCUAUCUAUAUCGAAAGCCUCAAUAUAAAAAAAUAUUAGAGUUUAAAUUAUACAUCGGAUUUUUAAAAAUAAAAUGCACAAAAUUUAUUUAUACAUUAGUGCACCAAAUAGUAUUCCUCGUAGUAAAUAUAUAUAGAUGUUCCUCAACUAUAAUUUUUUUUUUGAAUGAAACCCACUCAAGUUCUGAUUUCUUAUUAUUUUAAUUUUUAUAUUUAGUUAAAUUAAAAUGAUCAAAGAUUAUUGAAAUAUUAAUAUGCGGUGAAAUUACUAAUGAAUUGAUAAAUUUAUAAAGUUUUUGAUAAAUUAUUUUAGUCAAAAACUAAAAGUUUAGGAAGUUUCUAUACAUUUUCACCAUAAAAAGUUUGUUAAAAAAUUGUAAAGACACCCUCAACUAUUAAGAAGAUUUGAAAUAGACCACUCAAAUUUUUUUAAAUGAAUUUUAUACUUUUAAUUUUUUAUGAUUUAUUUUAGUCAAUUAAACAAAAUAUUUAUUAAAAUUUCACAAAAUUUGACCAAAUAUUUUAUAAAAUAAAUUAAAUAACUAAUAACUAAUAUUUAAUAUAUCUAUUAAAUUUACUGCAUUUUAUUUUAUAUAAAUUUUUUAAAAAAUUUUUAAACUUUUUUCUUUUUUAUAUAUGCCUUUGUAAAAUAAUUUUUUACUAAAAAGUUCUUACAAAAAUUUAUGUGCCAUAUAAACCAAUUUACAUUAUUUUAUUUAAUUUAUUAAUUAAAUUUAUUUAAUUAAUAUUAAGAGAAUAAACUAAUAUGAAUAUUUUAAUUAAAAUUUAUUAUUAAAAUAUGUUAUAUUCACGUGUAUCAUACAGGCUAUUCAGUAGUACUUUCUAAACAAGAAAAAAAAAAAAAAAAAAAAAAAAAAAACCAAAGAGUCUUGAACUCUGACUUCUUGGUUAAAUAUAUAUAUAUUUAGAGUUUUCAGAAAGUAAUAUUUUACCUGUAUUGUUUAUGUUUGAAUAAUAAAGUCAGCAGGGAUAACAAAAUAAUUAGAUUUUAAAUUUGGAAUACCAAACACCAACCAUCAAACUUUUAAUCAACUAUCCUAUGUACGAUUGAUGGUUGGCUAAAGGACUUGAUGGAUGGUAUCUGAAAUCUCAAAUUUAAACACUAAUUAAUUAUUUACGUUUUCAGCAAAAUU